rnacentral:miRNA from 14 species
UGAAACUUUAACAUUAUGACGUGAAACUUUAACAUUAUGACGUGAAACUUUCUCGUCAUGACGUGAAACUUUCUCGUUAUGACGUGAAACUUUCUCGUUAUGACGUGAAACUUUCUCGUUAUGACGUGAAAGUUUCUCGUUAUGACGUGAAACUUUCUCGUUAUGACGUGAAACUUUAA